rnacentral:rRNA from 1 species
UGGGGAAUAUUGCACAAUGGGCGCAAGCCUGAUGCAGCCAUGCCGCGUGUAUGAAGAAGGCCUUCGGGUUGUAAAGUACUUUCAGUCGGGAGGAAGGUGGUAAGGUUAAUAACCUUAUCAAUUGACGUUACCGACAGAAGAAGCACCGGCUAACUCCGUGCCAGCAGCCGCGGUAAUACGUAGGUGGCAAGCGUUAAUCGGAAUUACUGGGCGUAAAGCGCACGCAGGCGGUCUGUCAAGUCGGAUGUGAAAUCCCCGGGCUCAACCUGGGAAAUGCAUUAGAAACUGGCAGGCUAGAGGCUUGUAGAGGGGGGUAGAAUUCCGGGUGUAGCGGUGAAAUGCGUAGAGAGCUGGAGGAAAACCGGUGGCGAAGGGGGCCCCGUGGACAAAGACUGAGGCACAGGUGCGAAAGAGUGGGGAGCAAACAGG